AACGAACGCUGGCGGCAGGCUUAACACAUGCAAGUCGAGCGCCCCGCAAGGGGAGCGGCAGACGGGUGAGUAACGCGUGGGAAUCUACCCAUCUCUACGGAAUAACGCAUGGAAACGUGUGCUAAUACCGUAUACGUCCUUCGGGAGAAAGAUUUAUCAGCGAUGGAUGAGCCCGCGUUGGAUUAGCUAGUUGGUGGGGUAAAGGCCUACCAAGGCGACGAUCCAUAGCUGGUCUGAGAGGAUGAUCAGCCACACUGGGACUGAGACACGGCCCAGACUCCUACGGGAGGCAGCAGUGGGGAAUAUUGGACAAUGGGCGCAAGCCUGAUCCAGCCAUGCCGCGUGAGUGAUGAAGGCCCUAGGGUUGUAAAGCUCUUUCACCGGCGAAGAUAAUGACGGUAACCGGAGAAGAAGCCCCGGCUAACUUCGUGCCAGCCGCCGCCGUAACAC
rnacentral:rRNA from 1 species